rnacentral:lncRNA from 1 species
AAGGCACGAGAUUAAGGAAAGUCUUUGGAUCGACAGACAGUGAUGGGUCAGAAAAGGCCAGUGGUGGGGCUGGCAUCUGCAUUCAGGUUCAUCCCUUGCUCCCUCACCAUGUUUCAAGGGCUAGAGUCAGCAGCUCUGACUUCUGAAUUUUAGGACAGUCAUGUGAGGAGAGACCAGAAGUGACUGCACAGAUCGGACCUCAGGCUACCCUACCCCUUAUCUGUGGGCCAGCCUGGAUCCUUCAGAUGAGAGAUUUUAAACAGAAGGCUAAUAAUUAUCCAGAAGAGACAGGAUGAGGCUUGGACAAAGGAGGUGGAGGGUAUCAAAAGAUAUUUAGAAGAUAAAGGAAGUCUGGACUUGGUGCUGUGGGUAUACCCUCCCUCAUGGCACACACCAGGUUAUUUUGAAGCAAAUCCUAGACGUCAUCAAACAGUUCAAAUUGCCCAAGUGUCUCCUACACACUUCUUUUUUCUUUUACAGUUUGUUUGAAUCUGGGUCCAAAUAAAGUCCACACAUUGCA